UGGCUCAGAACGAACGCUGGCGGCGUGCCUAACACAUGCAAGUCGAACGAGAAAGCGGGGGCAACCCCGUGAGUAAAGUGGCGACCGGGUGAGUAACACGUGACUAACCUACCCUCGAGUGGGGGAUAACCCCGGGAAACCGGGGCUAAUACCGCAUAACAUCGAGAGAUCAAAGGAGCAAUCCGCUUGAGGAGGGGGUCGCGGCUGAUUAGCUAGUUGGUGAGGUAACGGCUCACCAAGGCGAUGAUCGGUAGCCGGCCUGAGAGGGCGCACGGCCACACUGGAACUGAAACAGGAUCCAGACUCCUAC
rnacentral:rRNA from 1 species